rnacentral:tRNA from 1 species
GCAGGUAUAGCUCAGUGGUAGAGCAUAUGCCUAGCAUGCACAAGGUCCUGAGUUCAAUCACCAAUACUUCCA